UUGAUUUAUUUUGUUUGUUUACUCAGAUGAUUUACGAAAACAAGAGUUUAUAGGGGCCACCGGCCGGUCUGCUCCUCUAUAGAUAGAGGGACUUUCGAAAAAGCCAACCACUGCCGAGGCAACAUUAAGUAAGAUUCACAAAGGGUUUCUGGGGUAGCGCCCGUGAGGACGCUAGUUCCAGCAAUGAUCCCUCCGCUGGUUCACCAACGGAGA
rnacentral:misc_RNA from 1 species